GUGAUAGAAGACGAUGAGAUGGUGACGCUCAUCCUGGCUGGCCUCGACUUCUACUACAACCCGCUGGUAUCUUCUGUUGUUGGGCGCUCAACUCCCAUCUCGGUGAGCGAAUUGUACUCUCAACUGUUAGCUUUUGAUU
rnacentral:snoRNA from 1 species